GACGAACGCUGGCGGCGUGCCUAAUACAUGCCAGUCGAGCGGACUUAAAAAGCUUGCUUUUUAAGUUAGCGGCGGACGGGUGAGUAACACGUGGGCAACCUGCCUGUAAGACUGGGAUAACUUCGGGAAACCGGAGCUAAUACCGGAUAAUCCUUUUCUACUCAUGUAGAAAAGCUGAAAGACGGUUUACGCUGUCACUUACAGAUGGGCCCGCGGCGCAUUAGCUAGUUGGUGAGGUAACGGCUCACCAAGGCGACGAUGCGUAGCCGACCUGAGAGGGUGAUCGGCCACACUGGGACUGAGAUACGGCCCAGACUCCUACGGGAGGCAGCAGUAGGGAAUCUUCCGCAAUGGACGAAAGUCUGACGGAGCAACGCCGCGUGAGUGAUGAAGGUUUUCGGAUCGUAAAACUCUGUUGUUAGGGAAGAACAAGUACGAGAGUAACUGCUCGUACCUUGACGGUACCUAACCAGAAAGCCACGGCUAACUACGUG
rnacentral:rRNA from 1 species